rnacentral:lncRNA from 1 species
CAGGGAAAGAGCUCAGAAAUUCCUCCCCAGAGCUGCAUUUCUGCGUGCGGCCAUGCAGCGGCACAGGAGACCAGGAAUCUGCGGGACGGGGUGAGCGAGAGGCAGGAGCUGCUCAGGUGCGGGGCUGGCAGUGUCUGAGCAGAAGGGUAGCCCAAAGAUCUUAUAUUUUUUAAAGGUUCCCUGGUGCCCAAAUGGGUUCAUCCAUGUCCAUGAGAGCUUGAACUGCUUCAUGCAAACCCUGGGGGUCCGUGCUGCUGUUCUCUGAUUCCCCAGGGCAGACACUCCAAGGACGGCUGUGAAAUGGAACUUAAAAGUAACGUUAAAAGUAACUCUGCCUUGUUACUUAACUCACUCUA